rnacentral:lncRNA from 1 species
UGCAUAACAUAAUGUAGCACCAUGUAGAUGCAAAAAAUACAAUGAUAAUGAGAAACUGAUGGCAUAAGUAAAUAUAUAACGCACAAUGAUAAUGAGAAACUGAUGGGAAUAAGCUCACUGAAAUGUCGAGUGGUGGCACUAGCCACUAGGGCUGCUAGUUUUUUAGUUGUAUUGUGCAGGCCACACAAAAGUUAGUUUCAGAGAAGAUAAAACACAAAAGUUAGUAUCAGAGGGAUCUAUCCUCUCAGGCUUCCUCCCUGUUCAUCAACUUGAAUUGUAGCCUGGUGCCAAACUACAAACGAUUUCUUACCGCAUAGAUCAAAUUUGAAGUCCAAAUUUUUGCAUUGCUUCAAGUCAUUGAGGUCUUGAUUGCUAAUUUUCUUUUAUUACUUGCUCCCUAGUCAUCAACUGAUCAUAUAGAAGGUCUCUCAUGACUCCACCCUUUCACAUGUUUGGGCACAAUUCGUCCUUUUGUUUCUUCACCGCGUAGAUG